GACGAACGCUGGCGGCGUGCUUAACACAUGCAAGUCGAGCGGACAGGCGAGGCUCUUGUGGGGUGCUCGAGUGGCGAACGGGUGAGUAACACGUGAGUAAAAUGCCCUUGUCAGAGGGAUAAAUCCAGGAGACUGCGGCGCAUAUCGGGUAGGAGCUCCUGAUGCGUGGGGGGGGUUGGAGAGAGUCGGCGGUUGGGGAUGGAUUCGAGGGUUAUCAGCUGGUUGGGGGGGUAGGGGCUGACCAGGGCUGUGACGGGUAGGCGGCCUGAGAGCGUGACCAGCCACAUGGGGACUGAGGGACGGCCCAGACUCCUACGGGAGGCAGCAGUGGGGAAUAUUGCAGAAUGGGCGGAAGCCUGAUGCAGCAACGCCGCGUGCGGGAUGACGGCCUUCGGGUUGUAAACCGCUUUCGCCGGUGACGAAGCGUGAGUGACGGUAAUGGGUCAAGAAGCACCGGCUAACUACGUG
rnacentral:rRNA from 1 species